GGUUGUAAACUGCUUUUGUACGGAACGAAAAAGCUUCUCCUAAUACGAGAGGCCCAUGACGGUACCGUAAGAAUAAGCACCGGCUAACUACGUGCCAGCAGCCGCGGUAAUACGUAGGGUGCGAGCGUUAAUCGGAAUUACUGGGCGUAAAGCGUGCGCAGGCGGUUAUGUAAGACAGAUGUGAAAUCCCCGGGCUCAACCUGGGAACUGCAUUUGUGACUGCUUGGCUAGAGUACGGUAGAGGGGGAUGGAAUUCCCCGUGGCGCACUGAAAUGCCUAAAUAUGCCGAAGAACACCGAUGGCCAAAGCUAUUACCUGGACCGGUGCUGACUCUUAUGCCGGAAAGCGUGGGGAGCAAACCGAUUGGAUACCCUGGUAGUCCACGCCCUUUUUAUGUCAACUGGUUGUUGGGAAUUACUU
rnacentral:rRNA from 1 species